GGAGGAUGCAGCCAGUCUGUUUCGGUUGUUGAAAGUCGCCGGAUGUGUUGGGAGUUUUCUCCUAAACGUCAACCGGUGAGUGAUUGUUUUGUUGUGCUCGAAUGUCAUCCGUCUAAACCCGUUACGAUACCGACUUUACUUUAUUCGCGUGUGCUUCCGCUUAAUAAUUAACGGAAACAUCGUUACCUCCGUUCGUACUAGGAAACGAUAUUCAACCGGUCUUCCAGGUUUCGAGAGAAGUGUGUCAAAGCCGAUGUAACGUGUUUCUGUGCGUCCAUAAUCAACAUAGCUGUGUCUUCGGAGCUCGGAUACAGCCCCAAAAAAGAUGCCUGUGCGGUAGUGAUCGUGGCCUCGAAGCGAGUCCUUUUACGGCGGGGACGAGCAUCGAAAGCGGUGACCCUCCUUCGCCAUCCUCGACUUUGGCCCGCGGACACGAAAGGCGACCACCGCCUAGGGAGCAACGGGGAACGACCACGAAGAGGGAAAAACGAAUAGAACGAGAUCCGAAGGAGAAACGUCGAAAACUAGACGCUAGCCACCAGGUAUCGAGCGCGAUGAAAUAAACGAGAUGCCGGAGAGAACAUGGUACUUGGAAGAAUACUCAAACGAGAAACCUCUCUAGGGUGAUAAAAUAGAAAAAUACCGCGUGAAUGACGAAUGAAUUCAGAAGAUUUCAGGAGAAAGAGGUAAAGAAGAAAAUAUCCAGAACAGUGUGGUAAGGUGUUUCUACAUUCCCGCUGAGGAAUAAAGAAGCUAAAUGCCAGAUAAAAGAAGGAUAACAGAGAAGAAGAAAAAGGAAGGAUAAAGCGGCGGGUGUCUCGAGCGAAGGAAGCUGCUGUGAAGGAAAGGAAUGGGUGCCGGGAUGGGCAGGAGCGGCACGAGCGGCGGCUUCCUCGAGGCACUUCCUACGGGAACGCCGCUCCACGUGGCUAUGCUUGGCCUGGACAGUGCUGGCAAGACCACCGCGUUGUACAGAUUAAAGUUCGAUCAGUAUCUCAACACUGUGCCCACCAUAGGCUUCAACUGCGAGAGAAUCCGCGGUGGCAUCGGAAAAGCGAAAGGUGUAAAUUUCCUCGUAUGGGAUGUGGGCGGGCAAGAGAAAUUGCGACCAUUAUGGAAGUCGUACACCCGUUGCACCGAUGGUAUUAUCUUCGUGGUCGACUCCUGCGACGCGGAACGGCUCGAAGAGGCGAAGAUGGAGCUGACCAGGACGGCCAGGAGCCCGGACAACGCUGGAGUACCUAUUUUGAUCCUGGCGAACAAACAGGAUCUGCCAGCUUUCCCCGCGAAAAUCAAAGAGGACGCGUUCACGUGGCGUAGAGGUAUGAAAGAAAGAGGAGUUUGCAGGAGGAGGAGAGUGUGACAUAAAGAAGCUUUUUGUUUCUUCUUUUGAAAAUGUAAAAGAAGAACCAGCAGACACGAAGAAAACAAGGAUAAAUAUUAGGAGGCGUGAUCCGAUGCAGGGAAGUCGGUUUCGAACGCGAAGAUGAGUGUUGGACGAGACAAAAGAGGCUCUCUUUUCGCGAACAGUUCAUGGACAGUUGAAUGGUGAAUAAUAUAGCAGAGGAGGAGCAGAGGAACGUGAUAAAGGGCAAAGUACGCGGUUCGAAAGGAGAGAAGGUAGCCGAGGGUUGAAAACAGACAGACGAUAAACAGGGGAGAGAAAGAAGGGGUGGUUGGCGCUGGUUGAAGAGCACCCUAGCCACUGCGCUAUCGAGCAAAUCCUCGUUGCCAUGGGGAUAAUCACGAUAGGUCUGCCGAAGAUAGAGUGGAAUCGAGGGUCAGAAUCAGGGUUGAAACGCGUAAGUAAGUGAGAAUUCUUCAGGGUCUAUCGUCUCGACACGAAAUAACCAGAAAUGGAAGGGUAAAGGUGAGAGGGUGGCUGGAGUCAGUCGAGUAGCACGUGUCUGCCAUCGAUUUCACUUGUAGAGCAAAGGAAUGGAGGAUUGGAUAGUUGGAUAUCAUUGUUACAAACUGUUAAAAUAUGUUACUAUGAAACUUGAAAUAAUUAACGUCAUUUAUAAAUUAUCAAAGAGAUAAGCGAAUCAAAAUAAUCAUUAAUUCGCUAAUGAAAUCUGGUAAUUGCAGAGAAUCAGGUCGGCCGUGGUAAAUUAAUAACCGCGUUUAUUAAGCGUUAAUUCGGUUCAUAAAUUAAUAGCAAUGCCAAUUUGUUUGUCCCUGUUCAUGGAAAUUAUUCCCUCCGAGAUGAACGAUUCGCCAUAUAAUUCUUGACGUGCAUUUUCUCGUUUCUGUCCUACUUUUUUUUUUUUUUUUUUCACUGCAUCACUCCUGAAAUUACUUUCCCUCCUUUAAACUCUUUCCCUCUUUUUUCAGAUUGUUUUUCCCGGCUCGUACACGCGUCUUCUCUCUGUCUUCCCAUCCGGCAACGGGGAUCCUCUUGUUCUUGCUAGACUCCAGCUAGUGUCCUUUGGGAUAGGAGAAUGCAAAGAAGGAACCUAUGAGCAUUCUUCGCAGCAAGCUUUUUUCGCGAAAGUAAUCUCGAGUUAUGGAGGCUGGUGGUUUCUCUUUUUCUCUUGUCGCGUAGGAAUUUCGUGAUGAAGCUGCUCCCUCUCGAAUCGAGUUUGCCAGGAAUCGCGAGAACCUACGGUGCUCUCUUAAUUUCGUUUCUCUGGUCUCGCGGUAAUUCAGCCGAGCAGAAUAAACCAUUCGCGACAGAUGAAAGUGGUGUAAAUUUUCAAGUUUCAACUUUUUGUUUCAGAAAUACCGAUAUGAAAUUGAUCUUGGAAGUUUGCAAUUUUAAAUGCUGAGGAGCUUGAGAUGGAAAUGAAAGGAAGGAAGGAAAGAAAUUUCAGAGAAAUCCAGGGCGAGAUAAAGGAACCCGUUCCCGUGAAGGGGACUCGUGAAAUUUUCAUUUUUAACCCACCGAAUAGACGUCUGUGCUUCGAGGAACGCUCGCUCCAUUAAAACUUGAAACGCCAUAAUUCGCGUUAGCACGCGUCUGCGGUUUCGCUCGUAAACAAGAAACACAUGGAGCCGGCGUUAAAAAACUGCAACGGGUGCAUCAUUUCCACGCCGCGCGAGCAAUUUCAAUUUGUGAAAUAAAAAGAAGAAUCGCAAGAAACACGGAAGUUUCCUAUCGACCGUUCGAGCGUGCAGAUUUGAUUAAUUCAAUUACUUAAUUGGACGACGAAGAUUUUCGAUCCUGAAAGCUUGAUGAAUUAUUCAGAACGGCCCGUCUGUGAAAGUAAUAUUGAAAUCAUGGAAUAUGGUAGACUGAAUAAUUGACGAGUAGCGGAACGAUCUUGGAACGAUUCGAUCUUCUAUAGCUGCGAAUCGAUUACGUCUCUGCACUUGUGGUUAUGCAAGUCUCAUCGAUUUUAUUGAGAAAUUUAUGUCUUAAAUUAGAGAAUUUUAAGGUACCAUUCUAAGUACAGUGGUACCUUGGUAUACGUCUGCUUUGGAAUACGUCCUAUUUGGACGUGACAAAUUUUGCUCGACAUAAAUUUUUUGUGUGAAUUUGCAUCAUUUUUAAAUAAUUAUCUCAAGUAAGUAAGGUCGUAUACCUAGGUACCACUGUAAUUUCUACAGUAAUUUCUACUCUCCUUAUAUUACUAAUUCCAAAAAUUUUCCACUCCCCUAACUGGUAAUAUAACUAGUUAUUAGUGUAAUAGAAAAAGUUCUUAAUAAAUAAUACAUUUUCUUUUACCAGGAUAAAAUACAUCUGGAUAAAUAUGGAAAUAAAUGAAUAUAAAAUGAGAGACUCGCCCAUGUAUAAGGUACAACGUUAGCAGACUUCAACACAAUGUUCUAUUAUUAAAUUAUUACGAAAAGAUGGAUCGAUCAGCUGUCAGGAUUCUCGUUGUCCUCCUUGUCCUCCUUGUCCUCGUUCUCGGAGCUUUCCUCGUCGUCUUCAAGGAUGGUCUCGCGACGUCGAGGUUGGAAAGUGAGGUCGAAGUCGUCAGGAAAUUGAGAACGAUAGGCGACGAAGUCUUCCGCCUUGCAAUACUUGGUGAAGAAGGUAAGAUACUGAACUUCUUCUUCGGUAGGCUCCAGUCGACGUGAAGUUUCUUUAAUCCUUUGACUGGUCGGUAUCGAACGCCACAUUAAAGGUCGUCUUUUUAUCGGAGGAGGUUCCAUUGCACGCUUCAAAGAGGCUAACAAUCUGUGCAUAAGCUCGAACUGUGAAACAGAAAAACACGCAGCGCUCUCAGUUUCCUUCAGUGCCUUGAGCUCUUGCUUGAAGCCUUCCUUCUCAUAAGUCUGUACCACUUCCGGCGGCAGAGAGUCCAGCGUCAGAUUUAGCUCCUCGUGGGUCUUCUCGAUCCACUUCAUCAUCGCGAAAGUGUCCAAAUCAGCGUCAUUCGGGCCGACACAAGACUCCUCGUCGAUGGCGUUGGUCAGCUCCUCGACUUCUGACUUGAUCUUAGCUUCCGCAGUGUGGAUUGUCAAUAUCAUCUCCGUCAGUGGUUCUGCCAGAGAUUCCAGAUGAAUCAACGCGUUCAAAUUUUGCAUCUCUAUUGAUCUAAAUACCCGGAUCAGGUCCUGUGGAUCCUCGAAGUACAGCUCGGCUGGACCUGCGUAUCUAAUAUCCUCCUCGAACAAAUCUGAAAAUCAAUGAUUCCCUUUGAAAGGCUUAAAGUAAGUUAACAAUUGUAUAUUGACUUGAUUUUAUACGGAGAUACGCUCUAGAAAAUCUCGCAGCUGUAAGUAUUCUUCCCUCUCGCAGACAUUCGAGCCUUCUGUUCGAUUCUAACCACUCCUCAUUCACACCUAAAAUCCUUCAACUACUCUACAAACUUCUGCUCAUCUCUAUUCACACUCUAUAGAUCAGGAAUGGGCAGAGAGGAGUCUCACAAAGAUUGCUCUGUUGCCCUAAAUUUCCUCUCUGAGAAUAUCAUUCUUUUCUAACAAUAUAUAGGGUAAGAUAAAAAAUUAAUUGCCUGAACGAUAUAAUAAUAUAGUAAUACAAAAUUUGUCUUUCAAGAUUUCAAAGAAGAAGGGAGAUACAUUACUUAUCAAGACGUCGAUGGAUGGAACUUUCUCCAGCAUUCGAUAACGACCGAAUAUAACGUCAGUAUGAACUGUAUCAAUGGUCUCUGCGGAUUCUGUACGAUAGAUCCAAUCGUGCUCCGCGCGCCAAGAGUCUGGUGACACUUGGUACAAAAAUCUUUGGCACAUCUUCACCAUUCUCCAGUUCUCCUCCCAGUAAUACACGUCAAGUCUGACCUGACCGAAUUCCUUGGAGAGCUGAUUUCUUCUCAGAGUGAUCUCUUUUGUCUUUUUGCUCUCAUUUUCGGCCUCCUCGAGGAUCUUCAUGCUUUGCUCGUGAUCCUUCGACAGGAAGUCCUCGAAGGCGCUGACGUAUUGACGAUAACGUUUCUAAUAGGGAAAUUUGAUUAAUAUAGUUAGUGGAGAGGUUGUUAAAUGUUGGUACCGAGCCAAAGGAAAUAGGAUAAGACCUUGAUUUUGUUUAAUAUUCUCUGUUCCUCGACGAACUGCUGGUCGAUGAGGAUGCAAUCAUCCAUUUCCUGUCCCGCUAAUAGUCGAGCCUUGAAAAUGUUGCGGAUAUCGUUCACGUAUUCGUUCACUGAGAACUUUUCUUUCACAACUCUGCCAGCCAAUUCUUUAAAGAAUUCUGGAUCCACGUCAGUGAUGGCUAUUCCUUCGUGUAAAUCUUUGUGCUUCUUCGCCUCAAAAGCUUCAAUAUCCACGUCGACCUUAGUGAAAAUCAUACAGCUAUUUAGUGUGUAAAUUCUUGUUGGCUUUUGAACAACAAUAGAUUCAGACUGCUCACACGAAGUGUUCGCAAAAGUUCAUGUCCUUCUUUAUCUUGAUAAACUCCACUCCUUCGUGCCAAAUUCGCGGAACGUUUCUGCGCUUUCCAAUAUUGAAAAUAUGAGAACAUGAGAGAGCAAGGGGGAUAACCGAACGGCGAUCGCUCCUCGAAAACGUUUCUCGCUUUUCCCAGAUGUUCAUGUCCCUUUGUAAAGUAGUACUGUGUUCUACAUAGCAAAAUUAUCUAUAUUAUAACUUUAGUAAUUUAUCAUUUCUGCUUAGUACGUAAAAAUUUAAAUUUUAUAAUUGGUCAUAGUUUCUAAUCAUAGAUUUUUAAUUAUUUUUUUCAAAAUACACGUAUGAAUCGAAUCUACUUGAAGAAUUCUCUUUACUGGAAAGGCUUCUUCAUCUUCUUCCGGAUCUGAUGAGGCUGGCAUAAUCUCGUGGUAUCGGUCAUUCUCGCUUAAUUCAGCUCGUACUUUAUUCAAGCCAGUCUUUUCACUUUGUCGGUCGUUCACAUGCGACGUUCUAAAAAAAGCUCGUCUCCACGUCCAAUGUAUAAGGGAGACUUUUCUUUUAAAGUUACUGUCUGAGAAAAAGUAGUAGCCUGUUGAGAUGUGUUUCAACCAAGUAACUGUUGCAGUUAAUUAAUAAUUAGAUAUGUUGUUGCGAUAGAAUAGAAGAGAAUUGUAAAUGUAAAGUAUAUUGUUUGAAACACGUUUCUUUACAUUAACAGAUGUAAAAUUGUACUAUAUGUAAAAUACUUCUGAUAGGCAAAAUCGAGCAAAGUACAUGUUAGAAACAUGCUACUUACUUUCUGUAAUGGAAAUUCGAUCUUCUCUUCUAAUGCAUUCGUUGAAUUGCUUGAACCCUGUGAAUAAAAAGAGGAAAAUGAAUAGAGUUCGAUAAUCUGAUAGGCCGUCUUAGUAGCUGUCAGUAUUGACAGCACGUUGACGUUAUUUGGAUCAGUGGUUGUCAAGCGGAAUUGUUUGGCAUGCGCGGUAUAUUCCGAAGAGUUCAGUACCGAUUAUUUUCUGAAAAGAACCAAUUUUCAUUCCCUCUGAUUCUAUUUUCUUUUCAAAUCAGCACAAAACUGAAAAAUUAUUAAAAUAAUUGUUUGACAAACUUGUAUUUUAAAAAGACCGCGAUAAAUUGAAUUUUUUAAAAUUCGAUCCCAGCGCCAUCUAUACAAAAACGGUUGAAACUACUCGACCAACAGAAGCUACUUACCGACUUACAAUAGUUUCCGCUGUUCUCCGAUAGUUGGCGCUAGUGUUCCCUUGUUUCGGAAAAUCGAUCGAUAACUUGUCGAGUAGUUUCAGCCGUUUCUGUAUAGAUGGCGCUAGGAUCGAAUUUUAAAAAAUUUAAUUUACGACCGCCGUUUUGAAAGUCGAUAAAAAGCAUUCUUUUUCAAAUCAAAUCGUUUCAAUCGAUAUUUCUUUGUUCUCUAUUUUUUUUUUUAGAAAUCAAUCAAAAGCAGCACAAGAUUGAACAAUUUAUCAUUAUAAUUGUUUGACAAACUUAUAUUCACCUCGUGCACCUUGGUAAAUAAGUCAUUUCAAAAAAACAACUGACAAUGAGUUAUUAUUUAAUUCACCCAAUUUCAUUUCUGAGUUAUUUAUUUAAUGCCCGUAAUUUAUUUUCUCAGUUAUUUAUUUAAUUGACUUAAAUUCUUCUAUUAUUUUAGUUCUUCAAUGUAUCAAUCCCUGCAUCCCUUACAUUUCUGCACUCCUUACAUCCCUGCAUCCCUUACACACCGCCCAUCCCUUACAUCUCUUGUUUUCCUUACGUCCCAGCAUUCUUUACAUUCCUGCAUCUGUUACAUACUUGCAUCUCUCAUCCCUGAAUCUCUCUCUAAACAAUCUCUCAUUAUGAAAUUUGAGAAAAAGAGCUUCUAUAGCCAAUCAUAAAUAAAUACGUAAAGUACAAACCUUGUUAUUGGUA